CCUACGGGAGGCAGCAGUAAGGAAUAUUGGUCAAUGGACGAAAGUCUGAACCAGCCAUGCCGCGUGAAGGAUUAAGGCCCUCUGGGUUGUAAACUUCUUUUAUCUGGGACGAAAAAAGGGUAGUCUUACUCACUUGACGGUACCAGAGGAAUAAGCACCGGCUAACUCCGUGCCAGCAGCCGCGGUAAUACGGAGGGUGCAAGCGUUAUCCGGAUUUACUGGGUUUAAAGGGUGCGUAGGUGGGCUUGUAAGUCAGUGGUGAAAUCUCCGGGCUUAACCCGGAAACUGCCAUUGAUACUAUAGGUCUUGAAUUAUCUGGAGGUAAGCGGAAUAUGUCAUGUAGCGGUGAAAUGCUUAGAUAUGACAUAGAACACCAAUUGCGAAGGCAGCUUACUACGGAUACAUUGACACUGAGGCACGAAAGCGUGGGGAUCAAACAGGAUUAGAUACCCUGGUAGUCCACGCCCUAAACGAUGGAUACUCGACAUCAGCGAUACACUGUUGGUGUCUGAGCGAAAGCAUUAAGUAUCCCACCUGGGAAGUACGAUCGCAAGAUUGAAACUCAAAUGAAUUGAGG
rnacentral:rRNA from 1 species